UAGAUAUGAGGAUUUCUGCGCUAAUGUGAAGGAGGGGUCCAUCACUGUCAUCUGAAUUAUACGAUGAAUGUAUAUGCGUUUCUGAGCUU